UGGUGUUUUUUUGCCCUCAACGGCAUCUUCCAGGCAGCACAGCCUAAAAGGCACUACCUUUACCCUAUUCCUAACCCUAACCCCCUCAACCCUCAUCCUACCCCUAAACUGAGGGGAGUAGUGCCUUGAAGGCAGCGCUGCCUGGAAGGCACCAUUGCAAUACCAAAGACCGGUGGGUGACUCUGGAGUGGGAACGCCUCUAUGGGGCUUUUCAUUUAUGGGGCACCAAAAUUGGGAAAUAUAUUCAACAAAAUGUUGAGUCAGUCUGACUCAAUCAAUGCAUUGUUUAUUAUAAUGACCAAAUGUUACACGAUCAAUUAAACAAAACAAAAAAAGUCUUUAGAAGUCUGAAAAACCUGAUCUUUACAAAUCUUUAAAAGUCUUUAAACUUUUAAAGAAGAAUUUUGUUUCUACAUUUUACAUUCAGAUGCAAUCUUUGUCUUUUGUUUUGUGAUACUACAGUAUGUUGUGCACAUUAAAGUGCUACCACUGACCCGAGGAGGAGUGUGUCUUACCGAGAGCUGGGUUGUAGCCGAAGCCCUGGUUGAGCAGUACGUUCAUGUAGGAGAUGGGCACGUGGCUAGUGAAGGGCCCAAAGCACUGUGAGCCCAUGGACAUCGGGGACAUCACCGCUGUGAAGGCAACCUUGCAGCCAGGACCUAGACAAAGAUGAAUACUUUGUUUAGAUCUCUCAGUGAAGAAAAUAAGUGGUAUUUUAGUGGAGUGAAUCAUCACAGUGCUCUUCAGUGACUGACAUUUCUGUUGUAUAUAUUUUUUGUGCUGAAGACUCCAUUAAAGAAUACUGAAGUAAUGUAUACACAUAGGAUCACAUAGGUAUAUGCUAAAACAUACAGUAUGUAAUGCUUGGACCUCUUUUAAUCUUUUCUGUGACUGACAACCUCUGAUCCCUUCUGAUAAUUAAAGGUAGUAAAAUGUACUCAUUUGAAUAUGUCAUGUGUGUGUGUCUGUAAUAGUACCUGUGAGCUCGCCGAUCUGGUUGUUGAGAGUGGAGAGUCCCUGCCACAGACCCACCAUGCGCGUGAACAGAUCCUCCUCCAGUUGGAAGACGCUGCCGGCAACGCAGCAGCAUCCGCGCUGGCGAUUGAAAGCGCAGUCGCAGUCCCAGUCACCGCACGGCAGCUUCCCCGUCCACGACACUGACGAACACGGGGACACAAAACCAACUCACCUCAACUACUCCAGCACAUGUGAGAGCUAUGGAGAUCAAUGAGGGGUGUCCAGUGAAGACUCCUGUCAGCCAGGUAGAGUGUGUGAGCGUAUCGGGCAGUGUGCUGGUCUGGAACUUAGUGCUGGGAGUUUUAUGCAGGGGGUGGUGUCACUCUGGGUGCCUGAAGAUCUUCAACACACACAGGUGUUGAGAACUAGUGCACAUAGUAUCCUCGCUGGGUGGGAGCAUCUGAAAAGCUCUGAAAAGCCAUUUGUUCCACAAUAGUCUCUCUUCCCCACGACACCUGGAUCCUAUUGCAUGAGUCUUCGGGGACAGCACUAUGUUGUGUGGAGAAGUAAAAAAAAAAAUAAGAAAAAUAAGUCAGCUUAUGAUCCUACUCAUUGUGAUAGCUGGUCAGCGCAGCAUUGAAUUGCUCUGGUGAAAUGGGCCCAUCUGAUACGGCUGUCACGCUAAUGCGUCUCGCAACCUCAAUUCCAGCAAUCGGAUGUUUUGUUUUCGUCCCUGACUCAGUUCCAGGGUAUCAGCCUUUUACUUUUCAUAUUUUCCUGUAAUGUCUCUGUCAAGACCUAGUUCACCAAGAGAUUCUCAAAAGCGUUUAUUUCAAAAGAAAUGACAAGAAGGCAUGUAAGGGAUAUGGAAUAUUUCAAGACCUUUUUAGACCCCAGCAUUCAUCUUCGACUUGCUUUGCAAACCUUCAGAAGCACCUCAUAAUUAAUUAUUUUUAUUGGCAGACUACUGCCCAACAGCAUCAAAAAUAUCGACUGUCACCUUGACUAUACAGAUUUUUAAACUUUAAACUUCAAGCAAUUGCUGUUGUCUGUUAUGACAAUUGAGCAUGUUGAUGUCACAGUUUUGUCCUUUGUUGCCCUGUGUCAUUAUGAAGUACGUGUUAGUUGCCCAUUGUAUAGCAUAGAAAGAAGUUGAUAACAGGUCUGUUGUCAGUGUGCAAUUUUACAUUAUUGAGGAAAAUUAUGCAAUAUUAUGCAUAUUAUUGCAAAUAGCAGGGUUGCCAGGAAUAGUGUCCUAAGGGAAAUGACUUCUGUUCUAACCAUGGCUAAAAUCCACUGAUGCUCAGCUUAUGGAGGUCAUUGUGCACAAAACAUUGUCAGUAAAUGCGUAAAAAGUCACGUCUCCAAUAUUUUCCUUUUUAAAAAUGUGUUUGAUUUUGUCAUACCGCCUGGACAAUGCUUCAACCUGUCAGUCUUCUUCAGAACCGUAUAAAGUAUUUAUAAACCCCAUUGACACCU